rnacentral:rRNA from 1 species
UACGUAGGGCGCAAGCGUUAUCCGGAAUUAUUGGGCGUAAAGAGCUCGUAGGCGGUUUGUCGCGUCUGCCGUGAAAGUCCGGGGCUCAACUCCGGAUCUGCGGUGGGUACGGGCAGACUAGAGUGAUGUAGGGGAGACUGGAAUUCCUGGUGUAGCGGUGAAAUGCGCAGAUAUCGGGAGGAACACCAGUAGCGAGGGCGGCACUCUGGGCCGGUACUGACGCUGAGGAGCGAAAGCGUGGGGAGCAAACAGG